CUUUGGCGAUCAGCUGAAAUGGGUGAUUGCCAAACGAAAUCUAUCGCCAACUGCUUGGAUGCCCGCUUUUUGAACGUGAUUGAAAAUGGCGAAAAUGUUUGAGCUGGACGUACUCGGAAUGAUUAAGCAAUGAAACGAAUUCGCUAGCCAUCAGUCUGUUACUGUCUGAUCGGAAAAACCAGAAUUAAGUUUGCAAGUUGUGUGGUAUAAGAGACAGUCUAAAAGAAAUAUGAGUUUUCUUCCAGGUUGUUAUGAUCAUCAGUUAUUGUGAUGCAUCCUUAAAUGUACAGAGAAGGCUCCUUCAUCGACUGAAUUUUCAACCAUGCUGACCUGAGAAUUAUUACGAUUUCCAGGUCAAUGCUUGUUG